CAACUUCGGAUCUGUAAUAACGAGAGGGUUGUCUUUCAUGCUUCCUCGGCCUAAAAGAAGUAAGCAUGUGGGCUUCCACCUGAACCCAAAACACUUGCCUUAGCCUAGAUUACAAAUUCAACUUUCUUAUGAAAAAUAACCAUAAUGACAAUUUUUACGGAAAAAUAAAUAAUAAAGAAAAUAAUACAUUUCUAUUCUAAAUACCUCUGACUAUGAAGACAAAGAAAUUAAAGUUAAGCGAAAAGGUGGCCAUCGAGUGAAGGAUUCUAAAUUAGAGUCAUGUCA
rnacentral:lncRNA from 1 species